rnacentral:tRNA from 1 species
GCAGCCGUGGCCUACUGGUUAGCGCUUCGGACUUGUAACCGGAGGGUUGCCGGUUCGAACCCCGACUGGCCACA